GCUAUUAAAUCUUUUUGUAAUUAAAAAUGAACUAAUUUGUCUAGAUAGACGAUGAAAUCAAAAAAUGCGAGGAGAUACUUUGUUCUAAAAUAAUUAAUACAAGUGAUUUGAUAAAUAUUUCAAACAUAUUAACAGAUGAUUUGAUGAAAGUAUUUGUGGAAAGCUUAAAUGAUCAUGAAAAAUUUGUAAAUAUGUAUGAUGUGUAUUAUUUUGCUUUUAAAAUUAAAAAACCUGAUUCGAACUUUGAUAACAUUUUACAAGAGUCAGUACAGUAUUUCAACGAUUUCAAUAAUCUAGACGUAAAUUUAGCUAAUGUACGCAAAUACUUAGCUAAUAUUAAUGGUAAAAUUGAAGAUAAUUUGGACAAUAUGAUUACCGUUUGGGCUUCUUGUCAUUAAUAAUCGCUGAUUCUCUGUAAUUAAUAUUUUCAUAAUUUAUAAAAU